AUUUUCAAUGAUGAUACCAUGAGAUAGGAAGAGUAUGAAACAAACAUGAGUACUAAACACUCAGCUGAAAGAAAUA